UACGAAGGGGGCUAGCGUUGUUCGGAAUUACUGGGCGUAAAGCGCACGUAGGCGGACAUUUAAGUCAGGGGUGAAAUCCCAGAGCUCAACUCUGGAACUGCCUUUGAUACUGGGUGUCUUGAGUAUGGAAGAGGUGAGUGGAACUGCGAGUGUAGAGGUGAAAUUCGUAGAUAUUCGCAAGAACACCAGUGGCGAAGGCGGCUCACUGGCCCGAUACUGACGCUGAGGUGCGAAAGCGUGGGGAGCAAACAGG
rnacentral:rRNA from 1 species